CCUACGGGUGGCAGCAGUGGGGAAUAUUGGACAAUGGGCGAAAGCCUGAUCCAGCCAUGCCGCGUGUGUGAAGAAGGCCUUCGGGUUGUAAAGCACUUUCAGUGGGGAAGAAAGCCUUGGGGCUAAUACCCUCGAGGAAGGACAUCACCCACAGAAGAAGCACCGGCUAACUCCGUGCCAGCAGCCGCGGUAAUACGGAGGGUGCGAGCGUUAAUCGGAAUUACUGGGCGUAAAGCGCGCGUAGGCGGUCUGAUAAGCCGGUUGUGAAAGCCCCGGGCUCAACCUGGGAACGGCAUCCGGAACUGUCAGGCUAGAGUGCAGGAGAGGAAGGUAGAAUUCCCGGUGUAGCGGUGAAAUGCGUAGAGAUCGGGAGGAAUACCAGUGGCGAAGGCGGUCUUCUGGACUGACACUGACGCUGAGGUGCGAAAGCGUGGGUAGCAAACAGGAUUACAUACCCUUGUAGUC
rnacentral:rRNA from 1 species